rnacentral:rRNA from 1 species
AUUGAACGCUGGCGGCAGGCCUAACACAUGCAAGUCGAACGAGUGGCGGACGGGAGAGUAAUGUCUGGGAAACUGCCUUAUGGAGGGGGAUAACUACUGGAAACGGUAGCUAAUACCGCAUACCAUCGGAUGUGCCGAAAUGGGAUUAGCUAGUAGGUGGGGUAAAGGCUCACAUAGGCGACUAUCCCUAGCUGGUCUGAGAGGGUGACCAGCCACAAUGAGACUGAGACACGGUCCGAACUCCGACGGGAGGCAGCAGUGGGGAAUAGUGCACAAUGGGCGCAAGCCUGAUGCAGCCAUGCCGCGUGUAUGAAGAAGGCCUUCGGGUUGUAAAGUACUUUCAGCGGGGAGGCGUUACCCGCAGAAGAAGCACCGGCUAACUCCGUGCCAGCAGCCGCGGUAAUAC